AGUAGAAUUGCUAGAAUAUAUGGUAAGUGUGUUUAACUAUUUAAGAAACUACCAAACUAUUUUCCAAAGUGUCUGUGCCUUUUUACAUUUCUGCCAGCAAU
rnacentral:pre_miRNA from 1 species